AUGCAGAAGCCAAAUAACUUAAACCUCCCUCAAAAGGUGUGUCCUUCAUUUCUCAGUGGACACAGGUGUAUGUACAAAAAACUACAGGUUUUAGGGCUAAGGACUUCCCAAUCAUCCCAAUAUUUUCCCAGUAGCACAGUGGAGGAAGUGGAAGUGGGGGAUCCCAAAACACAUGAAAGUUGUGACAGGACAACCAAGCCACUAUGUAACCCUCCCAGAAAUGGCAGUACACCUACAAUGAGGGGGACAAUUUUUUUGGAGCCAGGUUGGUUAAUGCAGCAAGAUGGCGGCUCUAAACAACAAGGUAAAUCUACUACCGAACAUCUUCAAAGAUAUUAAAAUUGUUUUUUAUAGACGUCCGGUCCAAACCUCAGCUGAAUAGGAGGUGUCAAACUCUGCACAGACCUCAGGAGAGUCUCUCACACCAGACAAACUAAGAAUAUGUCUGAGCUGAUGCUGUUCUAUAAAGUAUCCUCAUUACAGUAUUACAGGGAGAGAGAGAAGAAAUGAUUUUGUGUUGGUUCAAUGUGUUUCCCAGGAGCACUGCAUUUUGCACAGGCUUAUCUGUCAACAGCGACAGUUGUCCAGGAAUCAGCCUCGCUCACUCGGAGACCUUCACCAGGAUUUCCUGCUGUACUAGGAGCUGAGGUUUAAGAAGUUUAGAUUGAAAUUAGACCUGGGCAGAUACACACAAGGGUUAGAUUAUGAUCUCUGAAGUGGAUGGAAGAUUGAAGCACAGACACGCCACAUCUUGAUAAUUAUCUCAAUACACAACUCAGAGAGCUCUGAAUACAUAUGCCAGACAGAUAAUGACUGGUUCCAAGUGUCCAAUCAGAGCUAAAGCAUGUCUGGAAUCUUACAUACGUCAUAUGCAGUUAUGUUCGAUUCCCCUCAUCACCAAAAGUUUAUUCACCUACCACUGUAUAAGUAAGCAGUUGGAGUUUCGCUGUUAGUCAUUGAUUUGAUAUCUAGUUGCAAUAUCAUCUUUACAAUCAGUACAUUUUGAAAUAAAAGAAUACUAUAAUUGGCCCUGACCUACA
rnacentral:lncRNA from 1 species